GUAGCCUCCCUGCUCUGACCUCUGCUGUCCUACUGCUACUCUAAGCACUGGAACAAGAGCAAGUUUUGAGGACCUGAAUAUAAGCUGUGGAAGCUGCCUCAAUGUAAGGAAAAGGAAAGAAGAAAAUCCCAAAUCUGGCUAAUAAUUACACAGUGAACGGUG